rnacentral:rRNA from 1 species
GAUGAACGCUGGCGGCGUGCUUAACACAUGCAAGUCGAACGGUGAAGGAGAGCUUGCUCUCUGGAUCAGUGGCGAACGGGUGAGUAACACGUGAGCAAUCUGCCCCUGACUCUGGGAUAAGCGCUGGAAACGGCGUCUAAUACCGGAUACGAGCUGCGAAGGCAUCUUCAGCAGUUGGAAAGAAUUUCGGUCAGGGAUGAGCUCGCGGCCUAUCAGCUAGUUGGUGAGGUAACGGCUCACCAAGGCGUCGACGGGUAGCCGGCCUGAGAGGGUGACCGGCCACACUGGGACUGAGACACGGCCCAGACUCCUACGGGAGGCAGCAGUGGGGAAUAUUGCACAAUGGGCGAAAGCCUGAUGCAGCAACGCCGCGUGAGGGACGACGGCCUUCGGGUUGUAAACCUCUUUUAGCAGGGAAGAAGCGAAAGUGACGGUACCUGCAGAAAAAGCACCGGCUAACUACGUGCCAGCCGCCGCAGUAAAAC